AUUCAGUGAAACUCCUGGAACCCUCACAUGAAUACACGCUUGAGCUAACACAUAAAUCAGGGUGUAAAAUGGCUUGUUAAAGUUGGGUAAUAAUUGCCCUGGACAAAGGGAAAAAUAAAGCACAUCAAAUAGGGCAAUCUUAAAUCCCAAACAUUUCGGGCCCUAGAUACAAUUAAUUCUGAUCCAGAAUAGAUUCUUGUAGUAAUCUUUUUCAACAUGAAUGACCUUGAAAGAGAACAAAGUAUCCUAGAAACCUGUAAGACUGCAGUUAUUCCAUGGACAAUAAACAGAAA
rnacentral:misc_RNA from 1 species